UCAUCUCCGGGGGUAGAGCACUGUUUCGGCAAGGGGGUCAUCCCGACUUACCAACCCGAUGCAAACUGCGAAUACCGGAGAAUGUUAUCACGGGAGACACACGGCGGGUGCUAACGUCCGUCGUGAAGAGGGAAACAACCCAGACCGCCAGCUAAGGUCCCAAAGUCAUGGUUAAGUGGGAAACGAUGUGGGAAGGCCCAGACAGCCAGGAUGUUGGCUUAGAAGCAGCCAUCAUUUAAAGAAAGCGUAAUAGCUCACUGGUCGAGUCGGCCUGUGCGGAAGAUGUAACGGGGCUAAACCAUGCACCGAAGCUGCGGCAGCGACACUAUGUGUUGUUGGGUAGGGGAGCGUUCUGUAAGCCUGUGAAGGUGUACUGUGAGGUAUGCUGGAGGUAUCAGAAGUGCGAAUGCUGACAUAAGUAACGAUAAAGCGGGUGAAAAGCCCGCUCGCCGGAAGACCAAGGGUUCCUGUCCAACGUUAAUCGGGGCAGGGUGAGUCGACCCCUAAGGCGAGGCCGAAAGGCGUAGUCGAUGGGAAACAGGUUAAUAUUCCUGUACUUGGUGUUACUGCGAAGGGGGGACGGAGAAGGCUAUGUUGGCCGGGCGACGGUUGUCCCGGUUUAAGCGUGUA
rnacentral:rRNA from 1 species